rnacentral:rRNA from 1 species
GAUGAACGCUGGCGGCGUGCUUAACACAUGCAAGUCGAACGAAUUUCUAUCAAACGGAGGCUUCGGCCAAAGGGAGACUGAAGUGAGUGGCGGACGGGUGAGUAACGCGUGGGUAACCUGCCUUACACCGGGGGAUAACAGAGGGAAACUUCUGCUAAUACCGCAUAAGACCACGGUACCGCAUGGUACAGAGGUAAAAGUUCCGGCGAUGUAAGAUGGACCCGCGUCUGAUUAGCCAGUUGGCGGGGUAACGGCCCACCAAAGCGACGAUCAGUAGCCGACCUGAGAGGGUGAUCGGCCACAUUGGGACUGAGACACGGCCCAAACUCCUACGGGAGGCAGCAGUGGGGAAUAUUGGGCAAUGGGCGAAAGCCUGACCCAGCGACGCCGCGUGAGUGAAGAAGUAUUUCGGUAUGUAAAGCUCUUUAAGCAGGGAAGAUAAUGACGGUACCUGCAGAAUAAGCACCGGCUAAAUACGUGCCAGCAGCCGCGGUAAUACGUAUGGUGCAAGCGUUAUCCGGAUUUACUGGGUGUAAAGGGAGUGUAGGUGGCAUGGCAAGCCAGAGGUGAAAACCCGGGGCUCAACUCCGACGGAUUGCCUUUGGAACUGUUGUGCUGGAGUGCAGGAGGGGUAAGCGGAAUUCCCAGUGUAGCGGUGAAAUGCGUAGAUAUUGGGAGGAACACCGGUGGCGAAGGCGGCUUACUGGACUGUAACUGACACUGAGGCUCGAAAGCGUGGGGAGCAAACAGGAUUAGAGAACCCUGGGAAGGCCCCUGAAGGAUGCAGAGCAGCCAGCACACGGGCGGCCGCGACGAGCAUGCAGAGAAGAGGGCCCAAGGCAGCCCGAAGAAGGGAGGCAGAAUUACAAAUUGCAGGC